UACGUAGGGCGCAAGCGUUGUCCGGAAUUAUUGGGCGUAAAGAGCUCGUAGGCGGCUCGGUAAGUCGGGUGUGAAAACUCAGGGCUCAACCCUGAGACGCCACUCGAUACUGCUGUGGCUUGAGUCCGGUAGGGGAGCGUGGAAUUCCUGGUGUAGCGGUGAAAUGCGCAGAUAUCAGGAGGAACACCGGUGGCGAAGGCGGCGCUCUGGGCCGGUACUGACGCUGAGACGCGAAAGCGUGGGGAGCGAACAGG
rnacentral:rRNA from 1 species